GCUGGGCGAGUUGGUGCACACCUGUAAUCCCAGAGGCUCGGGAGGCUGAGGCAGGAGGAUCACGAGUUCAAAGCCAGCCUUGGCAACAGCAAGGUGCUAAGCAACUCAGUGAGACCCUGUCUCUA
rnacentral:sRNA from 1 species